rnacentral:rRNA from 1 species
UGGGGAAUAUUGGACAAUGGGCGAAAGCCUGAUCCAGCAAUGCCGCGUGUGUGAAGAAGGCCUGCGGGUUGUAAAGCACUUUCGUGAGGGAGGAAGGCAUUAGGUUUAAUAAACCUAAUGAUUGACGUUACCUCAAGAAGAAGCACCGGCUAACUCUGUGCCAGCAGCCGCGGUAAUACAGAGGGUGCAAGCGUUAAUCGGAAUUACUGGGCGUAAAGGGUGCGUAGGUGGCAAUGUAAGUUAGGUGUGAAAUCCUCGGGCUUAACCUGAGAAUUGCGCUUAAUACUGCUUUGCUAGAGUACUGCAGAGGGUAGUGGAAUUUCCAGUGUAGCGGUGAAAUGCGUAGAUAUUGGAAGGAACAUCAGUGGCGAAGGCGACUGCCUGGAUAGAUACUGACACU